rnacentral:rRNA from 1 species
UAAAAAUUAAUUUACUUUAGGAAUUAUAAUGUUUUUAGAGAAUCUUCUUUAUCUUUAGUAUUUUAUUGAAAUAGUUAUAUUUGUAAUAGUUUAUUAGUACUGUAAAGUAAUGUUGAAAUAUGAUGAAAUAGUUAUUUUAAAAAAAGCAUACUGUUUGUAGUACCUUUUGUAUCAGGGAUGAUUAAUUUUAUUUAAUUUAU